UGAUUAAAUCAUAUUAUCAGCGAUAAAUUUCUUUUCACAUAAUUGCAUUUGCAGUGCAUUCAUACAAACGCGAAAACAUAUGUGCAUACGGGAAAAAUGCCACCAGCCAGACGAGCAAAUAUAGGUCGGCGAACGCGUAAUGCAAAUGAUGUGGCAUUACUAAGACGAUCACAGACUGCAGAAGAACGCGCACAAGCUAAUGCAUCGCAGCGUGAACGUAAUGCACGCAAUAGAUUUGUUAACCCAGUACCUGUACUGAAUCUUGCACGGCCAUCACGAAUACGUCGUGCUGUUUUGGCUGAAAUGAUGCGUGCUGCUUUUAAUUACAACAGUCAGAUUGAUUAUAGUAUGUAUGGAUACAUUGGAAUGAUGGACGCAAUAUGUCCACAUUGUGAUGCGGCUAACUUUCGAGGUGAAACACCCGGCAUGUGUUGUGCUAAUGGCAAAGUGAGAUUGCCAGCAUUAGAAACUCCACCAGGAGUUUAUAAGUCGAUCAACUCCUGCUGAUGAAAUAAAUGCCUGCUUGAAGUCAUCAGUUCUUUGGAGAUAUCUACAAAAAUUGACACUAAACAUUAAUAUGCGUCUUCACCUACAAAAUGAUCCAGCUGCCCAUGAGUUCUCAAAACAAUUGUUAGAAAUUGGUGACGGCAAAAUACAAAUCGACAGAACCAACGGAUUGAUCGCUGUACCGAACAAUUUUUGUACAAUUGCGCAAUCGAUAGAUGAAUUGAUUGAAUGUGUUUUUCCGAAUAUUGUUCAGAAUUACAGAAAUCAUGAUUGGUUGACAGAACGCGCCAUUUUAGCACCGAAAAACAUUCAUGUCAAUGCAAUUAAUUUUCAAAUUCAAGCGAAACUGCCAGGCGUAGUCACGAAAUAUAAAUCAAUUGACAGUGUUAUGAAUCAAGAUGAGGCAAUGAAUU